rnacentral:rRNA from 1 species
ACGGGGUGCAGCAGGCGCGAAAACUCCGCAAUGCGCGAAAGCGUGACGGGGUUACCCCGAGUGCCGUCCGUUGAGGAUGGCUUUUCUCUAGUGUAAGAUGCUGGGGGAAUAAAGGGGGGGCAAGUCUGGUGUCGGCCGCCGCGGUAAUACCAGCCCCCUGAGUGAUAGGGACGAUUAUUUAGCCUAAAGCGUCCGUAGCCGGCCGGGUAAGUUUCCCGUUAAAUCCAACGUCUCAAGCGUUGGACCGCGGGAAAUACUGCCUGGCUAGAGAGUGGGAGAGGUAAGCGGUAUUCUGGGGGUAGGGGCGAAAUCCUUUGAUCCCCGGAGGACCACCAGUGGCGAAGGCUGCUUACUAGAACACGUCUGACGGUCAGGGACGAAAGCUGGGGUAGCGAACCGGAUUAGAUACCCGGGUAGUCCCAGCUGUAAACGAUGCAUGCUAGGUGUUGGGUUGGCCACGAGCCACCCCAGUGCCGCAGGGAAGCCGCUAAGCAUGCCGCCUGGGAAGUACGAUCGCAAGAUUGAAACUUAAAGGAAUUGGCGGGAGCAC